UACGGAGGGAGCUAGCGUUGUUCGGAAUUACUGGGCGUAAAGCGCACGUAGGCGGCUUUGCAGGUUAGAGGUGAAAGCCCGGGGCUCAACUCCGGAAUUGCCUUUAAAACUGCAUCGCUAGAAUUGUGGAGAGGUAAGUGGAAUUCCGAGUGUAGAGGUGAAAUUCGUAGAUAUUCGGAAGAACACCAGUGGCGAAGGCGACUUACUGGACACAUAUUGACGCUGAGGUGCGAAAGCGUGGGGAGCAAACAGU
rnacentral:rRNA from 1 species